rnacentral:misc_RNA from 1 species
GUUGAAGAACGCAGCGAAAUGCGAUACGUAAUGUGAAUUGCAGAAUUCAGUGAAUCAUCGAGUCUUUGAACGCACAUUGCGCCCCCUGGUAUUCCGGGGGGCAUGCCUGUCCGAGCGUCAUUGCUGCCCUCAAGCACGGCUUGUGUGUUGGGCCUCCGUCCUCCUCCCGGGGGACGGGCCCGAAAGGCAGCGGCGGCACCGCGUCCGGUCCUCGAGCGUAUGGGGCUUCGUCACCCGCUCUUGUAGGCCCGGCCGGCGCUUGCCGACACAUCAAUCUUUUUUCCAGGUUGACCUCGGAUCAGGUAGGGAUACCCGCUGAACUUAAGCAUAUCAAUAAGCAGAGGA